AGAAAGGGAGUGAAAAAGGAGCGCAUUUUGGGUUGGAAGCGUUGCUUUUAUUCUCUUCUCUCUCUCUCUCUCUCGCGGUUUCCUUCUUUGCUUCGCUUCCGUUGUGCCUCUGCGCUGCUUGUUUUGGUGUUCUUUGAAAGGGGUUAUCGCUCCGCCCGACGCCGAAAACCGAUCCCCGCAACAACCUCGAAUCAUUGAAUCCCUUCCCCACCUCCUUUUUAUCGCUCCGCCCCCCCCGCCCCCGAAAAGAUCCCUCAUCUAUCCGUUUGCUUGCUUCUCCUUCCGAUCCUUCCCCGAUUGGCUUCCGCCACGCACUCGAUCUGUUCCGAUGAGUUCUUCCCCUGACCGCGCGGACUCUUCCAGCCCUUGUUGCGCCUUUUGGCGCGUCGGGUGAAAGGGUGGUGACCUCGGGCACUCGGGAUCGAUUUCUUGGACAUGGGUGACCAGCAGGACUGGCCGCCGCUGGCGAACGGCGGCUCUUCGGAAGGUUUUUCCCACCCGAUGCCGACGAAUCCUGACCUGUCGGCGGUCGGCCCUGGGAACUUGAUUCGCGCUGAGCAAGCCACCGCAGAGGUUCUCCGGUGCAUUCAGCCGACGGUGGUGUCCGAGCAGAGGCGGAAAGCCGUCGUGGAGUAUAUCCAGAAGCUUCUCAAGAGAUAUAUAGGCAUUGAGGUAUUUCCAUUUGGAUCAGUUCCACUGAAGACAUAUCUUCCUGAUGGAGAUAUUGAUCUGACUGCACUUAGUUUUCCAAAUUCUGAAGAUGCUUUGGCAAAUGAUGUGCGUUCUGUUCUUCAAUCAGAAGAACAGAACAAGGGUGCUGAGUUUGAAGUAAAGGAUGUUCAAUACAUUAAUGCUGAGGUUUUUCAUUCUUCUGGAAUUCUGUUUAUUGGUUGUUAUGAGGUCAAACUUGUUAAAUGCAUUGUUGAGAAUAUUGUAGUAGAUAUCUCAUUCAAUCAGAUUGGUGGACUUUGUACACUUUGCUUUCUUGAGAAGGUUGACCAGGAAAUUGGUAAGGACAAUCUCUUCAAGCGCAGUAUAAUAUUGAUAAAAACUUGGUGUUACUAUGAGAGUCGCAUCCUUGGUGCUCAUCAUGGUUUGAUUUCUACGUACGCAUUGGAAACGUUAGUGUUGUAUGUUUUUCACCUCUUCCAUGAAUCGCUAGAUGGUCCUUUGGCGGUUUUGUAUAGGUUUCUGGACUACUACAGCAAGUUCGAUUGGGACAAUUACUGUGUUAGUUUGCAGGGACCCAUUCCUGUUUCUUUUCUGCCAGAACUAGUAGUUGAGCCACUAGAGACUAACGGGGGUGAUUUACUGCUUUCGAAGGAAUUUAUUAAAGAAUGUAUCGACAUGUUCUCAGUUCCUCCAAGAUUUUCAGAGAGCUCUAGAAUAUUUUUAAAGAAGCACCUAAACAUUGUGGAUCCACUGAAACAGAACAAUAAUCUAGGGCGCAGCAUCAGCAAAGGUAACUUUUACCGCAUACGUAGUGCAUUUACAUAUGGUGCCCGAAAACUUGGUCGGGUACUUCUACUACCUGCUGAAAAUAUUGCUGCUGAAGUUGGUAUGUUUUUUGCAAGCACCUUGGAGAGGCAUGGAACUGGAGAAAGGCCAGACGUUCAACAAGAUGUAUCUCUUAGUUGUUCAGAUAGCAGAUUUAUUGAGCAUAAUGAGGUUGGCUCUACAUCAUCAAACAAGGAGUCGCCUUUAGAUUCACAAGUUAAGUGUUCUGGUGGAGCACUAUGUGACAACAUAAAUAACAUCAAGAUCUCAGAUUUGGAUGAGGGGUAUGGCACCGAAUUGCAAUUCAAUGGACAUAACUCUAAUAAGCAUCUUGAUGGACUUCACAACUGUACUAAAAUGGAAAAUCAUCUCAUGGGAGGAGAAGCUUCAGUUAAGCAUUUGGAUAAAAAUGCCAGAGAUCUUGUUAGCAUAGAAGCUUUUAAUUUGAAAGCCGCUGAAAGUUGCUUAGAUUCUUCAUCACAUAAUCAGAUAGGCGGUGACUUGUCAUCUGGAAAAGCUUAUCAUGCACCCCCCUUGUUCUUCCAUGUGGGAAAUGGUUCUGAAUCUGUGAUACUUGAUAAUGUGAAUUCAGGGGAUACUGCAAAGAAAGAAGUGAUUUCUAGCAGGUUUGUGGCCCCCGGUGAGGAACCAAACAAUGAAUCUGAAUCACACGGUACUAGUACAUCUGGGUUUAAAACCAACUCUGUAUCUGCCUCCACUGGCAGCAUUCAUGGAUCUUCAACAACAAGUUGGAAUUCCCAUUUAUCAGAAUAUUUAAAUACUGCAGCUUGGUCAUGUGAGGGAAACGGAAAUAGUAGUCCCAAUUGCAGUAAACUAUCAGAUCUAGUUGGUGAUUUUAAUCUGCACUACAUGAAUCUUCUUUAUGCUUUGAAGUCCCAGAGCCAAGAAUACUUUAUGAGUCAGUACUUUAUGCCAAAUUAUGGACCAUCCCCUUCCCAGUAUCAGAACAAGCAAUCAUGGAAUGGUUUUUCUCAGCAGAGCAUUUACAUGCAUAUUAGAGCAAAUGGUGUCAUCCCUGCACCAUCAUUUUCUUUGAAUCCUGGUGUUUAUGCUGCAAAAGAUAUCCAAAAAACAAAGGGAACAGGAACAUACUUUCCCAACACGGUUUACAUGAUCCUGAUGUCUUUUGCAGAUUCAGAAUUCUCGUUCAUACAGAGAAAGACAGUCACCUGGGAGAGGAAAGAAUCAAACGCCUCCAAAUCAGCUGUCAAGAUCCCGCAACAACAGCCGAUUGGAGGUACAAGAUAGGAACCUACUUGAAGAAAAUAAUGAGACACUUCCACAACCACAGUCUCCUGUUUUCACGGGGGUCCCCCAGCCUUCAUGCUCGGCCACUAGAGAGCUUUCACAUGGCAAUGACAUUGUUCUUGGUUUAAAGGGAAAACUAGAGUUUGGGUCCCUUGGUCCCGUUAAACUAAGAGUCUCCUCACCAGAACAAAGCAAAAAGCUAGAAUCAGUUAGUCCUUCUAAUCAGAGCUCCGCAGCAAUCCUUGAAUCAACAGUUCAGAGACCCUCAACGAACUUGAGAUAUGAAAGGUCAAUGAAACCUUAUCAGCUCAAAGAUGAAAGCGACUUCCCUCCUCUAAAUGGCUGAUUUCUACUGAAGACCAAUUCACACGGAGCAGACAUGGGGGGGGCGGCCAUGAAACUAACAAAUGCUGACCACCGGAGCAUCUUUGCUAGAGCAGUGUCGCUGAGGGACGUGUAUAAGAGUGUUAUCUAAUUGUUGCGGUGAAUUUGUUUCUUGUACAUUCCGACAACUUCUCUCCCUGUUCUUCUUCUUUUUUCGGAACCCUUGGCACCCACCACCCCUUCAUGUGGGUGUAAACAGGCACCCAACUCACAUCCCUCUUUGCCUAACCAGUUUUUCUGUUGCAGGUGGUAAAAAGAUUCUCUGGUUUUGGUUUGUUGUAGAAAAUGUUUUUGGCAGAAUCCUCCUAAUUCAAGUCAGAUUUUCUUUGAUGCCUCUA